rnacentral:rRNA from 1 species
AAGGGCACCACAAGAACGCGUGGAGCAUGUGGCUUAAUUUGACUCAACGCGGGAAAUCUUACCGGGUCCGGACUUACUGAAGAUUGACAGGAAAUGAAUGAUGAUCUGGUAUCCUUUUGGAUGCCUUUUACACUAAACUGCUAGCCCUUUCAUGAUAGUAUGAUGUGUGGUGCAUGGCCGUUUUUAGUUCGUGGAGUGAUUUGUCUGCUUUAUUGCGUUUCGCAUGGGACUUAAAUAACUGACAAUAAUAUGUACUUAUUUGUUAUACAUUAUUUAUAUUUAUUUUUUUGAAUAUAUAUAUUUUUUUGUGGAUUUGUGAGUACGUCUUAGGUCCUGAAAGCAACGAACGUGACCGUUAGUGUUUAGUUAAUCAGUUUUUUCCAUUCAGUGAUUUAUUUAACUAGACAGACAGCUGCGAUUUAUUUUAAACCAGAGGAAGGUUGCGGCAAUAACAGGUCUGUGAUGCCCUCAGAUGUUCCGGGCUGCACACGUGCUACAAUGAUUAUUGCAGUUAGCAUCUAUUUGAGUAAGUAGUGCUGUGUUUUCGUUUAUUUAAUUAUGAUAUUCGAUUACGUGGUCGACGCUCUACCCGCUUCGAAAGUUAGCUGGGAAUCAAUUGGAAGUAAUGAUUUCUCUAUACAAAUUUUUUGUUUUUAGUAGCACAUACAUUAUGUUGUUAACAAUUUAAAAGUCAUUAGCGAUUUUUUUGUUUUCAAUAUGUGCUUUUUUGUCAACUCUUGGUGGGGACAGACCAUUGUAAAUUGUUGGUCUCGGUCUUAACUAGGAAUGCCUUGUACGGGUCUUUGGCUCAACAAACCACCCGGAAUACGUCCCUGCCCUUUGUACACACCGCCCGUC